rnacentral:tRNA from 1 species
GAGUGUUUAGCCAAGUGGAUCAAGGCAGUGGAUUCUGAAUCCACCUGCGCGAGUUCAAUUCCCGUCGUUCG